rnacentral:rRNA from 1 species
GCAGUCGAACGGUGAAGCCAAGCUUGCUUGGUGGAUCAGUGGCGAACGGGUGAGUAACACGUGAGCAACCUGCCCUGGACUCUGGGAUAAGCGCUGGAAACGGCGUCUAAUACUGGAUAUGAGCUCUCAUCGCAUGGUGGGGGUUGGAAAGAUUUUUUGGUCUGGGAUGGGCUCGCGGCCUAUCAGCUUGUUGGUGAGGUAAUGGCUCACCAAGGCGUCGACGGGUAGCCGGCCUGAGAGGGUGACCGGCCACACUGGGACUGAGACACGGCCCAGACUCCUACGGGAGGCAGCAGUGGGGAAUAUUGCACAAUGGGCGGAAGCCUGAUGCAGCAACGCCGCGUGAGGGAUGACGGCCUUCGGGUUGUAAACCUCUUUUAGCAGGGAAGAAGCGAGAGUGACGGUACCUGCAGAAAAAGCGCCGGCUAACUACGUGCCAGCAGCCGCGGUAAUACGUAGGGCGCAAGCGUUAUCCGGAAUUAUUGGGCGUAAAGAGCUCGUAGGCGGUUUGUCGCGUCUGCUGUGAAAUCCCGAGGCUCAACCUCGGGCCUGCAGUGGGUACGGGCAGACUAGAGUGCGGUAGGGGAGAUUGGAAUUCCUGGUGUAGCGGUGGAAUGCGCAGAUAUCAGGAGGAACACCGAUGGCGAAGGCAGAUCUCUGGGCCGUAACUGACGCUGAGGAGCGAAAGGGUGGGGAGCAAACAGGCUUAGAUACCCUGGUAGUCCACCCCGUAAACGUUGGGAACUAGUUGUGGGGACCAUUCCACGGUUUCCGUGACGCAGCUAACGCAUUAAGUUCCCCGCCUGGGGAGUACGGCCGCAAGGCUAAAACUCAAAGGAAUUGACGGGGACCCGCACAAGCGGCGGAGCAUGCGGAUUAAUUCGAUGCAACGCGAAGAACCUUACCAAGGCUUGACAUACACCAGAACACCGUAGAAAUACGGGACUCUUUGGACACUGGUGAACAGGUGGUGCAUGGUUGUCGUCAGCUCGUGUCGUGAGAUGUUGGGUUAAGUCCCGCAACGAGCGCAACCCUCGUUCUAUGUUGCCAGCACGUAAUGGUGGGAACUCAUGGGAUACUGCCGGGGUCAACUCGGAGGAAGGUGGGGAUGACGUCAAAUCAUCAUGCCCCUUAUGUCUUGGGCUUCACGCAUGCUACAAUGGCCGGUACAAAGGGCUGCAAUACCGUGAGGUGGAGCGAAUCCCAAAAAGCCGGUCCCAGUUCGGAUUGAGGUCUGCAACUCGACCUCAUGAAGUCGGAGUCGCUAGUAAUCGCAGAUCAGCAACGCUGCGGUGAAUACGUUCCCGGGUCUUGUACACACCGCCCGUCAAGUCAUGAAAGUCGGUAACACCUGAAGCCGGUGGCCUAACCC